GCACGCUGGCGGCGUGCCUAAUACAUGCAAGUCGAGCGGACGAUUCGAAAGCUUGCUUUUGAAUCGUUAGCGGCGGACGGGUGAGUAACACGUGGGCAACCUGCCCUGUAGACGGGGAUAACACCGAGAAAUCGGUGCUAAUACCGGAUAACACGAAAUGUCGCAUGACGUUUCGUUGAAAGACGGCGCAAGCUGCCGCUACAGGAUGGGCCCGCGGCGCAUUAGCUAGUUGGUGAGGUAACGGCUCACCAAGGCGACGAUGCGUAGCCGACCUGAGAGGGUGAUCGGCCACACUGGGACUGAGACACGGCCCAGACUCCUACGGGAGGCAGCAGUAGGGAAUCUUCCGCAAUGGACGAAAGUCUGACGGAGCAACGCCGCGUGAGCGAAGAAGGCCUUCGGGUCGUAAAGCUCUGUUGUUAGGGAAGAACAAGUAACGUAGUAACUGGCGUUACUAUGACGGUACCUAACGAGAAAGCCACGGCUAACUACGUGCCAGCAGCCGCGGU
rnacentral:rRNA from 1 species